UAGGGAAUAUUAGAAAUGGACGCAAGUCUGAUCUAGCAACACCGCGUGUGCGAUGAAGGCCUUCGGGUCGUAAAGCACUUUUUGGAAGGAAUAGGAAGGAAUGUACUUCCAGAAUAAGUCUCGGCUAACUACGUGCCAGCAGCCGCGGUAACACGUAGGAGGCAACCGUUAUCCGGAUUUACUGGGCGUAAAGCGCGUGUAGGUGGUACUGUAAGUAGGGCGUGAAAGCUCCUGGCUCAACUGGGAGAGGCCGUUCUAAACUACAGAGCUAGAGGAUGGUAGAGGGAGGUGGAAUUCCAGGUGUAGCGGUGGAAUGCGCAGAUAUCUGGAGGAACACCGGUGGCGAAGGCGGCCUCCUGGACCAUUCCUGACACUCAGACGCGAAAGCUAGGGUAGCAAACGG
rnacentral:rRNA from 1 species